UGGUAAUAGGUCCUGUAGCUGAAGACAUGUUUCAUUGGCAAGCAACAAUCGUGGGCCCUUCCGAUAGCCCUUAUGCUGGAGGUGUAUUUUUAGUUACGAUUCAUUUUCCUCCGGACUACCCUUUCAAGCCUCCUAAGGUUGCAUUUAGGACCAAGGUCUUCCAUCCAAACAUCAACAGCAACGGGAGCAUUUGUCUUGAUAUCCUAAAA